GGGCGGGGCUUAUGAGGAGGCCCUCGGUGGAGUUCACAACUUGUUUGGUGGCCCGAGCGUUGUGCGGGUUUCGCAGAGCGAUGGACCCCAUAGCUUUGCAGUGACUCGCGCUGUGCCCGGACCAUCUUGUGGUGAUGUCCUCCGGGUUAUGCAGCAUGAGCCCGAGCUCAUGUUCGAGACUCUCAAGCACCGUGCUGAAGAAUAUUGCCACCAUGACGAAGACAGUGAUGAUAGCGAUGGUGAUCAUCACAUGGGCAAUGCUACUUUGGCUAGCAGUCUUGCUCGCUCUUUCCAUAACAUGCCUUAUCUUGUGGCUUCUUGUUCAUUGACUGCUUUGAAUAAUGGUGGUUUCUACUACUGCAAUGAGGAUGCUGCUGAUUCUGCUACUGGGGAUGAAGACCAGUGGUCCUAUUGCUGUGCUUGAGAUUAGCAUCCCCCCACCAACUUUGUU
rnacentral:lncRNA from 1 species